rfam:TPA: Bos taurus chromosome 2, whole genome shotgun sequence.
UCCCUGGUGGUUCAGUGCCUAAGACUCUGCACUCCCAAUGCAGGGAGCCAGGGUUCAAUCCCUUGUCAGGGAA